GACGAACGCUGGCGGCGUGCCUAAUACAUGCAAGUAGAACGCACAGUUUAUACCGUAGCUUGCUACACCAUAGACUGUGAGUUGCGAACGGGUGAGUAACGCGUAGCUAACCUGCCUGGUAGCGUGGGGUAACUAUUGGAAACGAUAGCUAAUACCGCAUAAUAUUGAUUAUUGCAUGAUAAUUAAUUGAAAGGUGCAAUUGCACCACUACCAGAUGGACCUGCGUUGUAUUAGCUAGUAGGUGAGGGAACGGCUCACCUAAGCGACGAUACAUAGCCGACUUUGAAGGGUGGACGGCCACAACGGGACUUGGAAAAGGCUCAGAAUCCCUAGGGGAGCAGCAGUAGGGGAAUUUUGGCCAAGGGCGAAAGGCCUACCGAGCAACGACGGGGUAGUGAAGGAGGGUUUCGGAGCGUAAAGCUCUGUUGUAAGGGAAGGACGGGUGUGAGAGUGGAAAGUUCACGCUGUGACGGUACCUUACCAGAAAGGGACGGCUAACUACGUG
rnacentral:rRNA from 1 species